rnacentral:rRNA from 1 species
UACGAAGGGGGCUAGCGUUGUUCGGAAUUACUGGGCGUAAAGCGCACGCAGGCGGCUUGACCAGUCAGAAGUGAAAGCCCGGGGCUUAACCCCGGAAUAGCUUUUGAUACUGUCAGGCUUGAAUCACGGAGAGGGUAGUGGAAUUCCGAGUGUAGAGGUGAAAUUCGUAGAUAUUAGGAAGAACACCAGUGGCGAAGGCGACUACCUGGCCGUUGAUUGACGCUCAUGUGCGAAAGCGUGGGGAGCAAACAGG